rnacentral:rRNA from 1 species
GGGCCUGUCCUGACGCUCAGGCACGAAGCGUGGGGGAGCAAACAGGAUUAGAUACCCUGGUAGUCCACGCCGUAAACGAUGCACACUAGGUCGGGGCGGUUCUGACACCGUCCCGGCCGAAGGAAAACUGUUAAGUGUGCCGCCUGGGGAGUACGGUCGCAAGGCUAAAACUCAAAGGAAUUGACGGGGGCUCACACAAGCGGUGGAGCAUGUUGCUUAAUUCGAGGCAACGCGAAGAACCUUAUCCUAGGCUUGACAUGUACGGAUUAGUCGUUGGAAACAUCGAUGACGCCCUUGGGUGGAACGUACACAGGUGCUGCAUGGCUGUCGUCAGCUCGUGCUGUGAAGUGUCGGGUUAAGUCCCUUAACGAGCGCAACCCCUAUUGUUAGUUGCUAACGCGUCGUGGCGAGUACUCUAGCGAGACUGCCGGUGUCAAACCGGAGGAAGGUGGGGAUGACGUCAAGUCCUCAUGGCCUUUAUGUCUAGGGCUGCAAACGUGCUACAAUGGUACGGACAGAGCGAGGCGAUCCCGCGAGGGGGAGCAAAUCGCAAAAACCGUGCCCCAGUUCGGAUAGCAGGCUGCAAUUCGCCUGCUUGAAGUUGGAAUCGCUAGUAAUCGCGGAUCAGCUACGCCGCGGUGAAUGUGUUCCUGAGCCUUGUACACACCGCCCGUCACGUCAUGGAAGCCGGGAGUGCCCGAAGUCACCUUGAUUCAAGGGUGCCUACGGCAAGCUCGGUGACUGGGACGAAGUCGUAACAAGGUAGCCGUAGGAGAACCUGCGGCUGGAUCACCU